GAACGCUGGCGGCAGGCCUAACACAUGCAAGUCGAGCGGUAACAGAAAGAAAGCUUGCUUUCUUUGCUGACGAGCGGCGGACGGGUGAGUAAUGCCUGGGAAUAUGCCUUAGUGUGGGGGAUAACUAUUGGAAACGAUAGCUAAUACCGCAUAACGUCUUCGGACCAAAGACGGGGGACCUUCGGGCCUCUCGCGCUAAGAUUAGCCCAGGUGGGAUUAGCUAGUUGGUGAGGUAAAGGCUCACCAAGGCAACGAUCCCUAGCUGGUCUGAGAGGAUGAUCAGCCACACUGGAACUGAGACACGGUCCAGACUCCUACGGGAGGCAGCAGUGGGGAAUAUUGCACAAUGGGGGAAACCCUGAUGCAGCCAUGCCGCGUGUAUGAAGAAGGCCUUCGGGUUGUAAAGUACUUUCAGUCGUGAGGAAGGCAUUGUAGUUAAUAGCUGCAGUGCUUGACGUUAGCGACAGAAGAAGCACCGGCUAACUCCGUG
rnacentral:rRNA from 1 species